CUUAUGGGUAGUUCCUCCUGCCGGAGACGCGCGCCGUGACGACGAGAAAGGAGAGCCGUGGCUCGGGAUUAGUGUUCCCCGUCUGAUCUGUGGCUCAGGAUAAGCGCUUCCACGGCAGGGAGCGGUUUGGGCGCUAGUAAAUGACAAGGGCGCAGCUGUCCCCAACCUCUGCCUUAGGGUUCUUGGGUCGCCAUUAACGCGCUUGCAGAUCCGCGGUGGAGCAAAAAUAGGCGGCGCUCUUUGCGAUGGAGUUCCUGCUGCAACCGAUUAGGAGCACAUCGGUGAUGGAAGAAGUCAAUGACAGCCAGCUUCCAAUGGAGCCGCUGCACUUCCCGGCUAUGGCGACCGAGGCUGAGCAGCUACCACCCAUGGCGAGUGGUAGCGUUGAUGGGGGGAGGGCUGCAGGCGAAGUGGAUACUGAACCGCAAGCUUCUGAACAAUCUAUUGGACAGAUUGAUCCGUAGACACCAGGCUGGACUCACGUAACUUACAUGCCAUUGUUGAUUGCAGUGCAGGCUCGUGGGUUGAUUUUUGUGUGUGUUGUAGAUGGUAUAUAAGUUGUGCUUAAUUUUCAGAUAUUUGUGGGGAGAGGUUGUCCUCGAAAAAUGAAAUGUAGUGCUAGAAUUGUUGUUGCAUCAAUUUGUAGCAGCGCUUUUUGGUAAGAACAAAUGAAAAGAACCAUUUGCUUGUGGGAGAUGUCUUCUGUGCAUACUGGAAUAUGAAGGUAUGGAUAAAUAGAUAUGAGAAUUCACCUAGAAAAAAAAUAAUGUAGUGGAAAUAAUUCAUCGAUUACGGAUGCAUGGAUAUAAGAUACGAAUAGGCACACAAAAGAUGUAAAAUGUAAUGAAUUAAUUCCUGGGACAGAUGAACUUGCAUACUUGACUUCUGUAAAUGGUUGGGGUGCUGCUGCACUGGCUGUAGAUGUCUGUGCGUUGCAUUAUCUUUGCUGAUGUUUAGGGUGAUAGUCCAUGCUGAAAACAUGUAACCGUUCCGAUGGGAAUUAGAGAAAAAGAAGACAAAGGUUUCAGGUGUUGAUUAGUUAUAAAGGGGGGUUGUUGUGAAAUAAUCUUUGCUGAUGUUUAGCCGUUUAGGGUGAUAGUCCAUGCUGAAAACAUGUAUAACCGUUCCGAUGGGAAUUAGAGAAAGAGAAGACAAAGGUUUCAGGUGUUCAUUAGUUAUAAAGGGUGGUUGAUCUGAAAUAAUCAAAAUGAAGGAACAGAGAAUUCAAUCUUGGAGUUUCUGCUUUAGAGCUGCAAUUUGAAAUAGAAACACAUGGGUAGUGCCAUCCGACUGAUCUUAACUAGCUGAGUUUGAGAAUACUGGUUUUGUAUCAAUGCAGCCAUAUGUAAGGAAUCUGGGACGUAUUGAAUUAGUAUGAAAACCGUGCACUCAAGCAUUAGUUUUUAGAAAAUGACAUUAGUGAAAUAUGUUCAGAAAAAUGCUUAUAAGUUUCUGAAAGACAUCAGGUUGCAUUUUGUAAUUUGUAGGAAAGCUACAAACUGUUGAAAUAGAAAUGCCAGGGCUCAAGUUGCGGCAUUGCUUGUAGGAUGUAUGCUCCUUCCAUGUCAGAACUGAAGUAGCAAUAACCUUCAGAAAGAAGUGCUAUGUGAUUUGGUGAUUACCAAAAACCAAAUGUAGUGGUACUGUAAAUUGAUUAAGGUAUUUAGGAAACGUUAGGUGCAUUGAGUACAUUUAUUUUUUGAAGUACACUAACUCGUUCGUGCGCUUGAAGCUGGACUUGAAACAUCAAUGUGGAAGCUAUAUGGUGUGGUCUUAUUAAACUGGGGUGUAAUUUAUGAGCAGGAUUAGGAUGUGCAUUGGAUCAGCAGGACCAUCUAGGGGUACUGGCUCUUGAAAAAGAAAUUAGGGGAUUCGCUGAAAACUCAUCUGAGAGUGUGAUCAUGCCUAAAUCAGGAAAAAGUGCUAGCUCAUUGAGGGGAGGCCUACGAUUUUUACAACCUUUAUUCUUGGGAGAAAGGUUUUCGUAUUAGGUAUGGCCAGAUCAGGUUGAAUGUAGAAAUGACGAGAUGUAUGCAGGAGAUAGUAUUUGGUCGCGAAGGAAAAGCAGGAAUCGAGAACACGAGGUCAUUUCCAGAGUGUGGUUUUAGCCGGGGUCCUUGUCCGCGAUGAAACAGUUCAAAGUUUCAACUGCGUAUUCUCUGAGUUCCUUUAUUUCAUGGGAGGGGUUGCGCCUAAAACAAUACUAAGCAAUGGAUGUGCUUCGUCAUUUUCAGACCAAAACUAAGAAAUGGAUGUCGUGAUCCAGAGUGUGAUGCCAAGCACUGGCUGUGUAAAUGGCAUGUGUUGAAGAAGUUGUAGGAGACGUUUGGACCACUAUACAUGAAGAAGAAUAAAUUCCGUGCAGAGUUCCCACAAGGUGCUUGACUUCAUCCGUGUGAAUGAAAUUCCAGCGAAGCAUCUAGUGAAGCGGUGGACGAAAUAUGCUCGCGACAUCCUGUCGGCAAACCAUUCCCAUUAUCAGAGGGAUAACAUGGAUCAUAAACUCUUUCUCUUAUAGACACUUCAACAUGUAUAUGCACCCAAUGGAGUUGGUUCGACUCAGCAACACUGGUAUUAUUGGCUUACAAUUGGCUCAUCGCCUUAUUCAAAUCUAAUAUGGCAGAAAUUGCAACCAUAUGCCGAGACGGGAGAUGUGCUAGGACUGGAAGAUCGUCUCGCAGAAAAUGGAGCAAUGGUGCAGGUGGAUUGAGAAGUAGUACAACGCUGGACUAAAGAUUAACCAGCAGCUGCAGUUAGUAGAGACAACACUGGUAUUAUUGUUCACAAAGCAUUGAUAUCUAAUAUGAUUUGUGUUGUUGUGCAGAUCAGAACCGCGCGAUGGAGGUUGCCAUACAAAAUGUUAUGCCUCAGAGAGCGCAUAGAUGGUGCAAGUGGCACGUAAAAGCAAUCGCACGGUUCAUUGUACACCAAGAGCGAGUUUAGGGCGGAGUUCCACAAGGUAGUGAAAACAUGCUUACAAUCGAUGUAUUUGAGGAUGCUUGGAAGAUAUUGGUGGAGAAAUAUAACUUGAAGAAUCAUGCAUACAUGACGCAACUGUAUGAAAUAAGGCACAGGUGGGUGAAGCCAUAUUUCAAAGGUGGGUGGCACCAAAUAAGCAGAAAGAGAUGGGGCGCCCAACAACUACCAGGUGAAGGCACCGUACGAGGGGCUCAACAAAAAGAGGUUCUGCACGAUAUGUCGUCAGCAGGGACACAAGAGAACAACCUGCCCGGACCGGGGUGAUAUUCCGAAGCCUGUUUGCAAACCAGCAAGGUGCAAAAACUGUGGCAUUGAAGGGCACAUGCGAAACAACUGCCAUGGAGUGGGUGAUCUACGGAUGAACGCCAUCUGAGCAGUGGAUGCAAAUCUAUCUGUUUGUUUAUUGUUUUUCUAAAGACUAUAAUUCUGUGGAACAAAAUGUGUGGCAGUUAUUAGUUGGUAGAACUUUUCUUGUUUCAUGCAUACUUAAUGUACUGCCUGAUGUUAGGUGUGGCAAUAGCAAUAUGGCUUGUUUCAAAAUAAAAAAGAAACCCCUCUGCAUGUAUAUUUGAUCUGAUUUCAAGUUAGUAUCCAUGA